UACAGAGGGGGCAAGCGUUGUUCGGAAUUACUGGGCGUAAAGGGCGCGUAGGCGGCCUUCUAAGUCGAACGUGAAAUCCCUGGGCUCAACCCAGGAACUGCGUCCGAUACUGGAAGGCUUGAAUCCGGGAGAGGGAUGCGGAAUUCCAGGUGUAGCGGUGAAAUAACGUAGAUAUCUGGAGGAACACCGGUGGCGAAGGCGGCAUCCUGGACCGGCAUUGACGCUGAGGCGCGAAAGCCAGGG
rnacentral:rRNA from 1 species